CAUCCUCCAAGGCUAAAUACUCCUGACUGACCGAUAGUGAACCAGUACCGUGAGGGAAAGGCGAAAAGAACCCCGGCGAGGGGAGUGAAAAAGAACCUGAAACCGUGUACGUACAAGCAGUGGGAGCCCCACCACCAAAGCGUUUCGCUUUGUGUGGUGCACAAAGAAGCGUAACGACAGCACUGAAUGACGGUUAACGGAGCGCAAGCGACGUUCAACAUACAAAGUCAAGCAGUGGAGCGCUUUGGGGUGGGGUGACUGCGUACCUUUUGUAUAAUGGGUCAGCGACUUAUAUUCUGUAGCAAGGUUAACCGAAUAGGGGAGCCGGAGGGAAACCGAGUCUUAAUUGGGCGUUAAGUUGCAGGGUAUAGACCCGAAACCCGGUGAUCUAGCCAUGGGCAGGUUGAAGGUUGGGUAACACUAACUGGAGGACCGAACCGACUAAUGUUGAAAAAUUAGCGGAUGACCUGUGGCU
rnacentral:rRNA from 1 species